GAUGAACGCUGGCGGCGUGCCUAAUACAUGCCAGUCGAGCGAACAGAUGAGGAGCUUGCUCCUCUGACGUUAGCGGCGGACGGGUGAGUAACACGUGGAUAACCUACCUAUAAGACUGGGAUAACUUCGGGAAACCGGAGCUAAUACCGGAUAAUAUAUUGAACCGCAUGGUUCAAUAGUGAAAGACGGUUUUGCUGUCACUUAUAGAUGGAUCCGCGCCGCAUUAGCUAGUUGGUAAGGUAACGGCUUACCAAGGCAACGAUGCGUAGCCGACCUGAGAGGGUGAUCGGCCACACUGGAACUGAGACACGGUCCGGACCCCUACGGGAGGCAGCAGUAGGGAAUCUUCCGCAAUGGGCGAAAGCCUGACGGAGCAACGCCGCGUGAGUGAUGAAGGUCUUCGGAUCGUAAAACUCUGUUAUUAGGGAAGAACAAAUGUGUAAGUAACUAUGCACGUCUUGACGGUACCUAAUCAGAAAGCCACGGCUAACUACGUG
rnacentral:rRNA from 1 species